AAAAUAAUCCUACCCUUUGUGAAUUUUGUUUGUUUGAAUAAUUUUUUUUUUUAAAAAAUUAUUGGAGUCUUUCCCUUUAGAGUUUGCUUUUGAGUUUGUAAAAGAAUUCGAAAACAUCUAAAGGGGAUGGUCAAUGAUUUUUUUUGAAAAAAGACAUUUUUUAAAAUUAAACUUUUUGUAUUCAUUUGUCUAAAAAUUAUUUUUAUAAUAUAAAAACAACUUUUGACAAUGGAUCUCUUGGUUCUCGCAACGAUGAAGAACGCAGCAAAAUGCGAUAAGUAGUGUGAGUGCAGAAUACGUGAAUCAUCGAAUCUUUGAACGCAUAUUGCACUUUUUUAGUUUACUAAAAAAGUAUGUCUGUUUGAGUAUCAGUAAAAUAUUCUCAUAAAAAUCAUUGUGUAUUUUUAUGGUUAUGAGUGUUUUACAACGAUACAAGUUGUUUCACUUUAAAUUUUUUUUUAAUAUUGAAAUUUUUCUAAUUUUAAUAAUUAAAAUUGGAUAAAAUUUUCCCGUCAAAAGGAAUAACCUAAACAAUUUUAAAUGAUUAAUUUUAGCAAAAUUUUCGUAAAAAAGGAAAAUUUUUAUUAAAAUAACUUGAUCUCAAAUCAGAUAAGAGUACCCGCCGAACUUAAGCAUAUCAACAAGCGGAGGAAAAGAAACUAACAAGGAUUCCCUUAGUAACGGCGAGUGAAGCGGGAAGAGCUCAAAUUUGAAAUCUUCAAGGUUUUACCUUGACGAAUUGUAGUUUAAAGAAGUGUUUUCUGCUGAAGUUUUGGUAAAAGUUCUUUGGAAUAGGACAUCAUAGAGGGUGAGAAUCCCGUAUUUGACCAUUAUUUUCAGCUUUGUGAUACACUUUCAAAGAGUCGGAUUGUUUGGGAAUGCAGUCCAAAAUGGGUGGUAAAUUUCAUCUAAAGCUAAAUAUUGGCGAGAGACCGAUAGCGAACAAGUACCGUGAGGGAAAGAUGAAAAGAACUUUGAAAAGAGAGUUAAACAGUACGUGAAAUUGUCAAAAGGGAAGCGUUUGACACCAGUGUUGUUUUCUCGAAAAUCAAUUAAAAAUGGCUCGAUUUUAUAUUGCUGAGACCUUAAAAGCUCACUGUACAUUUUUCGUGUCUUUUUUAAUGCACUUUUCGUUUAACAAGUCAACAUCAGUUUCUUUUGUUGUAAAAGGGUCAUUGGAAGGUGGCUUUCUUUUCGGAGAAAGUGUUUAUAGCCUUUGGCCUCUGCAAUCGAAGAGACUGAGGUCUGCAGCGUAGACUCUUCGGGGUUAGAUACAUUUGUGCUAAGUUAUAGCUUUUUAUAGACAACUUGUUGACUAUAAUUAGUCUUGUAGCUUACUCGCUUAUGCUAUUUUACCUACGCUUAGGAUG
rnacentral:misc_RNA from 1 species